CAGUACCGCGGUAAUGCGUAGGGUGCAAGCGUUAAUCGGAAUUACUGGGCGUAAAGCGCACGCAGGCGGUUGUGUAAGACAGGUGUGAAAUCCCCGGGCUUAACCUGGGAACUGCGCUUGUGACCGCACAGCUAGAGUAUGGCAGAGGGGGGUGGAAUUCCACGUGUAGCAGUGAAAUGCGUAGAGAUGUGGAGGAACACCGAUGGCGAAGGCAGCCCCCUGGGCCAAUACUGACGCUCAUGCACGAAAGCGUGGGGAGCAAACAGGAUUAGAUACCCGCGUAGUCCCUGUCUCUUAUACA
rnacentral:rRNA from 1 species